rnacentral:rRNA from 1 species
UACGAAGGGGGCUAGCGUUGCUCGGAAUUACUGGGCGUAAAGGGCGCGUAGGCGGAUACUUAAGUCGGGGGGUGAAAGCCCGGGGCUCAACCUCGGAAUUGCCUUCGAUACUGGGUAUCUUGAGUUCGGGAGAGGUGAGUGGAAUGCCGAGUGUAGAGGUGAAAUUCGUAGAUAUUCGGCGGAACACCAGUGGCGAAGGCGACUCACUGGCCCGAUACUGACGCUGAUGCGCGAAAGCGUGGGGAGCAAACAGG